UGCAGUCGAGCGGAAGGCUACCUUCGGGUAGUACUCGAGCGGCGCAAGGGAGAGUAACGCGUGGAUACCUGCCCCUAGCUAUCGGCAUAGCGGCGGGAAACUGCCGGUAAUACCGUAUAAUGUCUCCGGACCAAAGGUGUGAUUCCGGCUAGGGAGGGGUCCGCGUCCUAUUAGGAAGAUGGUGGGGUAACGGCCUACCAUUCCUUAGAUGGGUAGCGGGUGUGAGAGCAUGGCCCGCCUCACUGGGACUGAAACACUGCCCAGACACCUACGGGUGGCUGCAGUCGAGAAUCUUCGGCAAUGGGCGAAAGCCUGACCGAGCGACGCCGCGUGCGGGAUGAAGGCCUUCGGGUUGUAAACCGCUGUCAGAGGGGAGGAAAUGUUUGUGGGCUAUCCCACUUAUUUGACCUAUCCUCAGAGGAAGUACGGGCUAAGUUCGUGCCAGCAGCCGCGGUAAUACGAACCGUACGAACGUUAUUCGGAAUCACUGGGCUUAAAGAGUGCGUAGGCGGCCUAGCAAGUUGGGUGUGAAAUCCCUCGGCUCAACCGAGGAACUGCGCCCAAAACUGUUAGGCUUGAGGGAGGCAGAGGUGAGCGGAACUAAUGGUGGAGCGGUGAAAUGCGUUGAUAUCAUUAGGAACACCGGUGGCGAAGGCGGCUCACUGGGUCUCUUCUGACGCUGAGGCAC
rnacentral:rRNA from 1 species